UGGUGGACUCAGUGUCGCAAAUGGAGCUACAAACGGCUCAUUCCGGUAACAGAAACACAAUGUUUCUUCAUUUCAGAUGAUUAUACCAUUAUAAAAACAUAGUUAUUUAUGUUAUAUUCCCCUUCUGCGAGUAUAUGCCCUUUAAUGCCACACACUAAACUUGAAUGAACCACCAGGCAGCAGGCUUUAAUGACGAAGCAUCCGUAGCAGCGGCUAACAUGCUAAAUGCUAAAUCACCUACAUUCACUGAGUGUCUCCGACCUUCAGCACUGAGAUGUGUGAGGACUUUCUGCGGAUUGUGGACUGGUUGUACUGGGACCAGAAAGGCAGAGUGGACUGGCUAUAUUUUACUUUGAGAAGAAGGUGAAUCUGGAGCAGCUUGGGGAGGACUUUAGGUGCACCAGACUCACAGGAUGACGUCAGACAGGCACACUGGUUCUGUGGGUCGGACAGGAAGGCCCGGUCCAGCUGGGCGGCCUCUCCCUGCAGAGCACAAAAAGAAACAAGCCAGGGUCACAAAGAGUGUACAUAGACAUUACAUAGAAAACUAGAAGACAACUAGGAACUCUGAUGAACAGAAAAAGGUCAUAUGAGUCGUACCACAUGUUUGGUUCGGACAGCAGCGACUGGGACUGGAAAAGGACACCACCGACAUCCCAACAGGACAGCUGACCUGAGGACACCUUGGUAGGCGGGGCAGCAGCGAUCCGUGGUGUUACUGUCCACUGUCAGCACCUCGCCGUCCUGGCAGACAGGAGGCGUCUCCACACAGGAAGAACACACUGCAGAAAACACACACUUUAUUCAUCACA